rnacentral:rRNA from 1 species
UUUAUGGAGAGUUUGAUCCUGGCUCAGGAUGAACGCUGGCGGCGUGCCUAAUACAUGCAAGUCGAGCGAACGGACGAGAAGCUUGCUUCUCUGAUGUUAGCGGCGGACGGGUGAGUAACACGUGGAUAACCUACCUAUAAGACUGGGAUAACUUCGGGAAACCGGAGCUAAUACCGGAUAAUAUUUUGAACCGCAUGGUUCAAAAGUGAAAGACGGUCUUACUGUCACUUAUAGAUGGAUCCGCGCUGCAUUAGCUAGUUGGUAAGGUAACGGCUU